rnacentral:rRNA from 1 species
GAUGAACGCUGGCGGCGUGUCUAAUACAUGCAAGUCGAGCGAAGCGGCGACGGGUGAGUAACACGUGGAUAACCUCCUAUAACACUGGGAUAACUUCGGGAAACCGGAGCUACACCCGAUACGUAUGGAUGGAUCUGCGCGGCAUUAGCUAGUUGGUAAGGUAACGCAUUACCAAGGCAACGAUGCAUAGCCGACCUGAGAGGGUGAUCGUCCACCCUGGACAUGAUACCCGGUCCAGACUCCUCCGGGUGGAAGAAUUAGGGACUCUUCCGCCACGGGCGAAAGACUGACGCAGCAACGCAGCGCGCGUGAUUAAGGUCCUCGUAUCGUAAAACUCUGUUAUUAGGGAAGCGGUACCUAAUCAGAAAGCCACGGCUAACUACGUGCCAGCAGCCGCGGUAAUAC